UGGCUGCAUAGUUUUUGUGGAGCCGAAGGAGGGAUAAAUAUCUCCCUGAGAAAGAAAGCUUUGCUCUUGCAGCACAGAGACGCAGAGACUUUCUGUUGCUGGAGAAAUCACAGACAUUUUGUGAGAGAGAGUUGCAGGAGGCAUCGCAAGCAGAGCUUUGAUGCUGCUGAUCAGAGAUGGACCUUGGUGAAAACUGGGAGCUGGAUGAAGCCAACUGGUUGUCUCAUGGCGGGAUCCAUCCCUUUGUCGGUGUGAAAGGAGACAAUGAGCUUUCCGAAGGUGCACCAGCCCUGUUUGCUCAGGAUCAGCUGGGCUGGAGCUCUGCUUACUGUGCCCAACUUUUGGAAACCCCUUCAAGUGUUGCUGCUGUUUGACCAGGGCAUGGCUCACCCAUACCUCGAGCAGUGAGUGUAUUUCUGGGCUUCCUGGAGAAAACUCACGGAGGGCAUGUAGUGAUCAGAUAAGGGGUAACAGCUUUAUACUGAUAGAGUGGAGAUUUAGACAAGGUAUAAGGAAGAAAUUAUUGCCCAUGAGGGCAGUGUGGCCCUGGCACAGCUGUCCACAGAGCUGUUCUGCCCUAUCCCUGGAGGUGCCCAAGGCCAGGUUGGAUGGCCCUGGGCAGCCUGAGCUGGUAGGUGGUAUAGAGAGAUUUGGAACAUGAUGGCCUUUGAAGGUCCCUUCCAACUCAAUCCAUUCUAUGAUUCUUCAGUCCUAAACAAACAAGGGAGCCAGUGGUGACCAAGGGACAGCGCAGCUUCCAUGAAAGGAGACACUGGGUAAACUACAACUUAGAAUCAUGGAAUCAUUAUGGUUGGAAAAGACCACUAAGUUCACUUAGUCCAACCCCAACCCAUCCCCACCAUGCCCACUAACCACAGCUCUCAGGCCACAUCUCCGCAAUUCUUGAACACCUCCAGGGAUGAUGACUGCACCACCUCCCUGGGCAGCCUGUGCCUUCAUGGAGUGGGGAAGAAACACUUGAAGGAGGAUAUGGUAGAAGUACUGGAGUUAUGAAUGGAAAUAAAUAAGGAAAGGCUUGAAACAACCCAAAGGAAGCAUGCCUUCAAACAUCAUACAAUUACAUUGUGCAACCCAUUGCCACAGGAUGUCCAGGAUGCCAAAAGUAUGAAUGGGCUCAAACAUUGAUUAGAAAACAACAUGGAAAAAAUUGUCUAUGAAGGGCCUCAGAUCCAGUGAUGCAGCUCAGGAAGUUCCUGCAGUGCAGGAACUGCUGGAAAAUGGGCUCAUGUACUAGAGAAAACAUCAUUUGUGUUUGUACUUUUCCUUAUAUGUUCUUUGCAGUUGUCUGCUUAGUGGCCGUGUCAGAGAGAGGACACCGAGGGCUCUUAAAUUUUGGGAUAAUGCAAAGUGGUAUUUGUGUCUACAGCAAUUAAUGGGAAAAAGCCACAAGCAGCCCUCGCAUCCUCUUCUUUCCAUUCCUCUUCUCUCUGCUCUCCCACUGCUUGGCUGCUGGAUUUCAGCAGAUAUGAGUCAGCCUGCGACUGCUGUGUUCCUUUUGUUCUUCAAAUGAUGAAACCAGAACAUUUCACACUCUGCGUGGUCCAACAGAGGAGCACUUCAUUGUCUCCUUGGCAGACCCUGAGGAGGAACUUCUGGCCUUGGAGAAAGUGAGGUCAGGGAGGGAGAAACUCUCCCCAUAGAGGAACAUGUGCAGAUGGCUCCUCUGCCUUUCCCCCUUGCUUUCUCCUUUCCCUCCUUCCUUCCCUUCUUCCAUUCCCUCAUCCCCUACCACUUUUCCACCUCCUUCCUUCCCCAUCAGAGAUGGUUCUGCAGCCAUUCUGGAUGAGCUUGCUGAAUGGCAGAAAAAAAGUCGGAUUGAAAAAGCAGGGCAACCCCAGGCUGCAGGAAACGCUGCGUCGGUGAUACGGUGUGCUAGGGGAAUGGACACACAGGGAAUGAAUCCCAUUGGACAAAUAGAAAAGGAAGGGAAAAAAAAAAAAGCCCCGGUCCCUGCGCUGUUUGUUCCCACUGCUCAGUAGUCAUCCAGCUGUUUCUUUUUCUUUGCUGCACUGACCUUAUCUCGCACUGGAGCGAAUCCAGGAGCCAGUGCUCUGCUGAGCAGCCGGUGACCGAGCAGGUCAGGUUUUGGGGGAAAUGAAAGCUCUUUGGCAGAGCUGGAAAAGCAGAUGUGCAGAGAGAUUCCUUCAAACACAGCACUGCCUAUGAAGCUCCUAUCAGAGGGGACAGCAGAUCGAGGGAAACUGCUUGCAGGCAUUUGGGGUUGCCACAGGGCCAGGCGCCCUGGGACAAUUAUUUGCUGGCUUGUUGCGUUAGGAAUCUGAGUGAUUACACGCAUGGGUGGGUGCAAAUGUAACGAGCAUCCAUACUCGGGUGUGCCUGCAGUUCAGGACAGCCGGUCCUGGUGGCAGCAGCAGUGCCCAGAUGCUGAAGGAUCCUUCCUUCCCCAUGCCUCCGAACAUGCUGGGGAAGCUCUGUACCAAGAGUGGAGCUGAAGCACGGGGAAGGUAGAGCGGUGUUGGCCAGGUGCUGCUGGGUGGGCACAAUGCAGGUGGCCAAAACCUUCCUGGUGGCAUUCAGAUGUACCCAACUGCAGAGGGAUCACAAAAGUCUCUCUCCAGCCUGCUGCCCUCUAUGGCUGUGCAUUUUAUAGAUCGAAGUGGAAUGAAACAGGAAAAAAAGGCUGUGAAAAUCACUUGGAAAGCCGUUCCAGAAAAUGAGGGAUGUGGGGAAAAAGUGCGAAGACACCUUUAACUAGGAAGAAAAAAAAAAACAGGCUGUUUUCAUUGGGAAUGUGACAGUGUGGCUCAUGAUGUCCUUGCCAUGUAACUGAGAGACAAGGCAGCAGUUAAUCCUGUUUCUUGAUACAUUCAUUCACCUCUGCUUACAGCCAGGCAGACCAGCCGAUCCUGGAGCCUUUUCCAAUUUUAAUGGUUCACCUGUGUGUGCAAAUAAAAAAACCUCAGUUCCUCUCCAGGGUGGAUAGGAGAGGAUGCUGUGCAACCUGAAAUACUGAAGGCAUGUUGUUUUGGUGAACCAAGGUAUCUGACCAUCUAUUGUCAAAGUUUCCCUAGAUUUUGCAGAGAAUUUAAGCAUUUAAAAGCUUUAAUUUGGGACUAGCUGUAGGUGUCCUCAUUCGCUGGUGGAGAGUUGCACUAGACGGCCUUUUAGGGUCCCUUACAGCCAAAACGAUUCCAUGACUGUAGAAGUGCAAGAGGGAGGCGACGCUGCUUCUAUCCCCUGCGUGCUCUCUAGGAUGGAAUUCAGGUCCCGCGAGCACCAGGCCCCGCCUUACGUAUAAACCCCGCCCCCACGCCCA